UUGAGCGAAAUUUGUAUAGUCACAAAUCGAAUUCGGAUAGAGUUUAAACGGGUAUUAACGAGUUGUGGAACUGUGAUUUAUUUAUUGUCCACAACCAAGUGGCUUUCAUCAAAUGCGGCAAAUUCCUACCGGACCGCGUAACUGUCAGAACCAGUCGGGAACCCUAGUAAAUCCCCAAAUCUAUGGUUUCAAUUGCAUUUUGGUUGUGCUAAUGGACACGGACAUUUGCCGCUGGAUAUCGGAAUUUGUGAUGCGAAACACUGCUGCCCAGGACCACGUGAUAAAGAAACUUCUCCGGGCCCUUCCGGUCUCCGGCGCCGACUCGCGGUUAAAGAAGACGGCGCUGCUCCGAACAAUACAGGCCGAAAUCUCGGACGCCUCGCUGAACGAGACAACGCUGGAUAAUCUGGAAGUAAUGGAGGAAUUGGACCGAGAUGACGGGGCCGAGAUAUCGAAGGCGUUGAAGGCGGCGUACCGUGCGGUGGCGGUGGAGUGCACGGUGAAGUACCUUGCAGGGACCGGCGACCGGCACGGGAAGUACUUUGAGGCCGUGAAGAGGGUGUGGAGGGGGAGGAUUGGCGGUUUGGAGAGGUCGGGGAGGAGCGAGCUGGUGACCGGCGAGUUGAGGCGGUGGGGGGAUGACGUGGAGGCGGCGGUUUGGGACGCGAAGGUGGCGACGAGGUUGCUGAAGGUGAACACGAGGAACGAGGCUUUGGAGGCGGUUAGGAUUUACAUGGGCGAGGCCUGGGCGCUUAUGGGUCCGACGUUUCUUCAGUCCGCUGCGACGGUGGCCGAGCCCGAUGGUGUCCAGACAUACGGUGCCAGUGUAGGUGAUUUGGCUUUGAAGAAUGUGGUGAACCGGGUCGAAGAAGUGGCGGCAAAGAAUGUGCCUAAUGUGGGUGAAUUUGCUGUGAAGAAGGUGAACCAGGUUGAAGAGGUGGCGGUGAAUACGCCUUGCGUUGGUGAAUUGGCUGGUAAAACAAUGAACCAGGUUGAAGAAGUGGGGGCGAAGAAUACGCCGAAUGCGGGUCAGGAUGUGGAUGAAUUGACUGCAAAGAAGGGAAAUCGGGUGGUGGCAAAUUCGCGGAAUGUGGUUGAGUUGGAAGCGGAGAGGGUGAACCAGGGUCAAGAGCUGGCGGCGAAUAUGCCGAAUAUGGUUGAGUCGGAUGCGGAGAUGGUGAAUCGGGUUGAAAAGGUGGCGGCAAAUAUGCCUAAUGUGGUUGAAUUAGCUGCAAAGACGGCGAAUUGGGUGGCAGCUAAUAUGCCGAAUGUGGUUGAAUUGGAAAUGGAGACGGUGAAUCUGGUUGAAGAGCUGGUGGGGAAUACGUCUAAUGUGAGUCAGGACGUGGGUGAAUUGUCUGAGGAGACACCAAAUCAGGUGGUGGUGAAUACGCCUUGUGUGGGUGAGUUGGUUGGUAAAACAAUGAACCAGGUUGAAGAAGUGGGGGUGAGGAAUACGCCGAAUGCGGGUCAGGAUGGGGGUGAAUUGGCUGCAAAGAUGGCAAUUCAGGUGGUGGGAAAUUUGCGGAAUGUGGUAGAAUUGGAAGCGGAGAGGGUGGACCAGGUUGAAGAGCUGGCGGCGAAUAUGCCUAAUGUGGUUGAAUCGGAUGCGGAGAUGGUGAAUCAGGUUGAAAAGGUGGCGGCAAACAUGCCUAAUGUGGUUGAAUUGGCUUCAAAGAUGGGGAAUCGGGUGUCAGCUAAUAUGCCAAAUGUGGUUGAAUUGGAAAUGGAGACAGUGAACCUGGUUGAAGAGCUGGUGGGGAAUAAGUCUAAUGUGAGUCAGGACGUGGGUGAAUUGUCUGGGGAGACAGCGAAUCAGGUGGCAUCGAAUACACCGAAUGUGGGCGUGAAGAGUAAACCUGAGUUGUGUGGAGGAGAGGGAAGGGGAUUGGUAGCUUUGCAGAGUGGAAGCUGGGACUUGAUUGUCAGGGAUAGAGCUGCUGCAGGGAGAGUUGAUGAGAUACAGAAGAGGGUUGAGCUACCCAGAUGGAAGCAUGCUGUGGGCCAUAAACGCUCUAAAGGAGGAGUUAAGAUUACUGAUACCGAGGAAAUGGACAUUGAUGAAUUAUGUAGCAAAUACGAUUCCCUGCGUUCCCCUGACGUUGAUAAAGUACAAGAAGCACUUAAAUCCAGUUCUUUGGAGUUAAGAGCAUUGGUGAAGGACCCUCUUCCUGAUGCAUUACGGUUGGCUGAAACUGUAAUAUCAAACAUGGUGUCAAAAGAUAAGCAGCAUGGACCUUCUGUAGAAAACCAGGGUCGAAAAGACGUUAAUGCACCCAACCCAUCUGUAAACACCGGCAAUGAACCUGCAGAAACUAAUGACUCUAAUCGUGGAAAUCAGUCCUGUAGUCAUCAGAGCAAUGCUUGUAAACCAAGCUUGAUGGAGCGGAAUGGCACUGCCUGUGCUUAUGAGUGGGAUGACUCACCUGAAGGAAUGACCAAUGAUGCAAGUAGACUUCACCUGCCCAGCCCAAAGAGAAAGCUUGUGUCUCCCUUGAAGAAGCACGAGGUUACAAAGUUGGCCCGAAGGAGACAGAUAAAGAGAUGGAGUUUAUUGGAGGAAGACACUUUGAGGACUGCUGUGCAGAAAUAUGGUAAAGGAAACUGGAAGCUCAUCUUGAAUUGCUACCGUGAUAUUUUUGAAGAGAGGACAGAGGUUGAUCUAAAGGACAAGUGGAGAAACAUGUCACGGUACUGACACCUCAAAACAGCCUGCAACCUUUUGUAUUUUGCUCCAAAGCACUUGGGAGAAGUUUUUUUGGUUCAUCCCAUAACCCUCCAUGUUAAUACUCAAACAUGGGUUAUACGACAUCAAGGAUACCCCCACUUGAUAGUUUUACUUUUUGCAUUGUGCUUGAGGGAGGUUCUGCAGAAUGCAGUAGGGCCAUACUGCAUGUUACUUGAAGUCAACUCCUCCAUACCUCCAUACUUCUCUAGAUUACAGAAUCAACACUGUCCAUGUUACACCAUGCUGCAAAUCACUCCAUCAUGCUGCUGAACACCUCAACCAUACUGUCCUUUAACAUUUGUUUAGUUAUGUAAAUCAGUUAUUUUAUUCAUGUAAACAUAGUAUAAAUUGGUGCAUUGUUCACCACUGUUUUGUAUCAGAAAUUCAAGCAAUAUAUAUACAGUUGUCAAA